rnacentral:rRNA from 1 species
UGGGGAAUAUUGGACAAUGGGGGAAACCCUGAUCCAGCUAUGCCGCGUGAGUGAUGAAGGCCUUCGGGUCGUAAAGCUCUGUGGGGAGGGAAGAACAAGGCUGUGGCUAACAUCCACGGUCUCUGACGGUACCUCCUUAGCAAGCACCGGCUAACUCCGUGCCAGCAGCCGCGGUAAUACGGAGGGUGCAAACGUUGCUCGGAAUCAUUGGGCGUAAAGCGCACGUAGGUGGCUCGUUAAGUCGGAUGUGAAAGCCCAAGGCUCAACCUUGGAAGUGCAUACGAAACUGGCGAGCUUGAAUAUGGACGAGGGUCGCGGAAUUCCCGGUGUAGAGGUGAAAUUCGUAGAUAUCGGGAGGAACACCAGUGGCGAAGGCGGCGACCUGGGCCAAUAUUGACGCUAAGGUGCGAAAGCGUGGGGAGCAAACAGG